GACGAACGCUGGCGGCGUGCCUAAUACAUGCAAGUCGAACGCAGUGGGGACGGGUGAGUAACACGUGGCUAACCUCCCAUCAGAGGGGAUAACACUUGGAAAAAGGUGCUAAACCGAUACUGAUGGAUGGACCAGCGGUGCAUUAGCUUGUUGGGGGGGUAACGGCUCACCAAGGCCACGAUGCAUAGCCGACCGGUGAGAGUGACCGGCCAAACUGGAACUGAGACACGGCCCAGAUUCCUACGGGAGGCAGCAGUGGGGAAUCUUCGGAAAUGGACGAAAGUCUGACGGAGCAACGCGGCGUGAGUGAAGAGGGUUUUCGGAUGGUAAGACUUUGUUGUUAGAGAAGCGGUAUCUAACCAGAAAGCCACGGCUAACUACGUGCCAGCAGCCGCGGUAAUUC
rnacentral:rRNA from 1 species